AUGAGUCGCACGACUCCAUAAACA
rnacentral:tRNA from 1 species